rnacentral:rRNA from 1 species
UACGUAGGGUGCGAGCGUUAAUCGGAAUUACUGGGCGUAAAGCGUGCGCAGGCGGUUCGCCAAGUCAGGUGUGAAAUCCCCGGGCUUAACCUGGGAACUGCAUUGGUGACUGGCGGGCUGGAGUAUGGCAGAGGGGGGUAGAAUUCCACGUGUAGCAGUGAAAUGCGUAGAUAUGUGGAGGAAUACCGAUGGCGAAGGCAGCCCCCUGGGAUAACACUGACGCUCAUGCACGAAAGCGUGGGGAGCAAACAGG